GGAUUCUAAUGAUAUAUAAUACUUAUGUCAAUCGAUUUCUGUCGCGACGGAUUAAUAAUUUAUAAACUCAUUAAUAAUUAACGUUAAUUGCUGAAAAAUAGCCGUUCUGCGCAGGCAGUUCUACGGUUAAAGAAAUGGAUUGGCAAAGACCCCAACCUGUGGUUAACUCAGUUCUUAUUCAAAACAGCAAAGAAACUGGAAGGUGUGAAUCCAGUAAUCUGUUAUUAGGUCAGAAAUCAGACACUUGUCUUGACAACUUUCACUCAGACCAUUUGAGUUCCAAUUUCAGUGUUCUCACUGAAAUUAGAACUCAAGUGAUCUGGGAGGGAAUAAAGAGAGAGGAACAGUUACAAAAGAAGUUUCAAAAUGAAAAGGAAUAAGUAUCAAAAAUCUACACUGCCACAAGUUAAAACUACACAAUGUAAUAUUUUCCGUUACGUUAAGUAGCUGAUGAGGAUUGCAUUAGAAUCAAAAGAACUCCUACU
rnacentral:lncRNA from 1 species